AAGAGGAGAAUGAAAGUGAUGGAUGGAUGUAGAGCAAAUCAAAAUCCCUUCUUUCUUCCUUUUAUUACUUAAAAACAGCUCCUCUGAUUCGUCGAGAUUAAUAGUUGAUCCUCUCUCUCACACACACGCACACAAUCGAGAUCCAGAACUUUUUAGU